GUUGAUCCCAUCCUCAGGUCUGUGGGCCUCACGUUGAUCCCAUCCUCAGGUCUGUGGGCCUCACGUUGAUCCCAUCCUCAGGUCUGUGGGCCUCACGUUGAUCCCAUCCUCAGGUCUGUGGGCCUCACGUUGAUCCCAUCCUCAGGUCUGUGGGCCUCACGUUGAUCCCAUCCUCAGGUCUGUGGGCCUCACGUUGAUCCCAUCCUCAGGUCUGUGGGCCUCACGUUGAUCCCAUCCUCAGGUCUGUGGGCCUCACGUUGAUCCCAUCCUCAGGUCUGUGGGCCUCACGUUGAUCCCAUCCUCAGGUCUGUGGGCCUCACGUUGAUCCCAUCCUCAGGUCUGUGGGCCUCACGUUGAUCCCAUCCUCAGGUCUGUGGGCCUCACGUUGAUCCCAUCCUCAGGUCUGUGGGCCUCACGUUGAUCCCAUCCUCAGGUCUGUGGGCCUCACGUUGAUCCCAUCCUCAGGUCUGUGGGCCUCACGUUGAUCCCAUCCUCAGGUCUGUGGGCCUCACGUUGAUCCCAUCCUCAGGUCUGUGGGCCUCACGUUGAUCCCAUCCUCAGGUCUGUGGGCCUCACGUUGAUCCCAUCCUCAGGUCUGUGGGCCUCACGUUGAUCCCAUCCUCAGGUCUGUGGGCCUCACGUUGAUCCCAUCCUCAGGUCUGUGUCACUGCUGUACAAGGGUGCCACCCACAUAGAUCAUGGGACUUGU